UCAAGAUUUAUGUUCCCCAAAAGCAUGGGUUAAAGACUUGUCACUUUGGAAGUGUAAGUCAUUUAACUCAUCAGUCAUCUCUUUCGGUUCAUCGGUUCUCACAACCGAGUUCCUUCUUUCUUCUUUCUUCAAAUAAAGUUUCUCAAAGCUUUCGAGUACUUUGUUUCUCUGCCCUUCUUUUCUUUGUUCAUCCAACACAAAAGGUUGUGCGCUUGUAUUCUGUUGUAAGUCCUCUCGUGGUUCAGGAAUCAUGGAGCCAUGAAAAGUUCGUAGUUGCGAGACAUGGAAAACGGGAUGGAUCUUUGAUGAAGGAGGAAGAUCAAGGUGGUAAGGAACUUGUCCUAUCCUGUGAAGGAUCUUGAAGGGACCGUAAUAUCGCUUGGAGAGCUUGUUAGAGACACGAAGGUGUAUUGAAGACUGAUGGUAUGGCUGACGACGAAGUAAAAUGAAAUCGCUCUCAGCAAAGGGAUGUAUCCACAUCUGCCAACGAUGAAGAUCAAGAACUGUAAGGAAGGAAAAAUGGUGGGGGCGGCCAUAUAAAGCUUCAAAGGGGGACAUGUUGAUGGAGUUGUGAAGGGCGGGGUUAUGCCACUGUUCUGAAAGAUAUUCGGUAAUGGCGCACAU